rnacentral:rRNA from 1 species
GAUGAACGCUGGCGGCGUGCCUCAAACAUGCAAGUCGAGCGGGGCUGUGUAAUAUCGCAAGGUAGAACAUAGCCUAGCGGCGAACGGGUGAGUAACACGUGGGUAACCUGCCUGGAAGACAGGGAUAACGAUUCGAAAGGGUCGCUAAUACCUGAUAAUAUCCUUUCAUCGCAUGGUGAUAGGAAGAAAGGGGAAACCCGCUUUCAGAUGGGCCCGCGUCCCAUCAGCUAGUUGGUAAGGUAAAGGCUUACCAAGGCGACGACGGGUAGCCGGUCUGAGAGGAUGUACGGCCACACUGGGACUGAGAUACGGCCCAGACUCCUACGGGAGGCAGCAGUUGGGAAUCUUAGGCAAUGGACGAAAGUCUGACCUAGCGACGCCGCGUGAGGGAAGAAGGCCUUCGGGUUGUAAACCUCUGUCAUGGGGGAAGAAGGAAGUGACGGUACCCCAAGAGGAAGCCCCUGCUAACUACGUG